rnacentral:rRNA from 1 species
UCCUACGGGGAGCAGCAGUAGGGAAUCUUCCACAAUGGGCGAAAGCCUGAUGGAGCAACGCCGCGUGAGUGAAGAAGGAUUUCGGUUCGUAAAACUCUGUUGUAAGGGAAGAACAAGUACAGUAGUAACUGGCUGUACCUUGACGGUACCUUAUUAGAAAGCCACGGCUAACUACGUGCCAGCAGCCGCGGUAAUACGUAGGUGGCAAGCGUUGUCCGGAAUUAUUGGGCGUAAAGCGCGCGCAGGUGGUUUCUUAAGUCUGAUGUGAAAGCCCACGGCUCAACCGUGGAGGGUCAUUGGAAACUGGGAGACUUGAGUGCAGAAGAGGAUAGUGGAAUUCCAAGUGUAGCGGUGAAAUGCGUAGAGAUUUGGAGGAACACCAGUGGCGAAGGCGACUAUCUGGUCUGUAACUGACACUGAGGCGCGAAAGCGUGGGGAGCAAACAGGAUUAGAUACCCUGGUAGUCCACGCCGUAAACGAUGAGUGCUAAGUGUUAGGGGGUUUCCGCCCCUUAGUGCUGCAGCUAACGCAUAAGCACUCCGCCUGGGAGACGCAAGUC